rnacentral:rRNA from 1 species
GGCGGCGUGCCUAAUACAUGCAAGUAGAACGCACAGUUUAUACCGUAGCUUGCUACACCAUAGACUGUGAGUUGCGAACGGGUGAGUAACGCGUAGGUAACCUGCCUGGUAGCGGGGGAUAACUAUUGGAAACGAUAGCUAAUACCGCAUAAUAUUAAUUAUUGCAUGAUAAUUAAUUAAAAGGUGCAAUUGCACCACUACCAGAUGGACCUGCGUUGUAUUAGCUAGUAGGUGAGGUAACGGCUCACCUAGGCGACGAUACAUAGCCGACCUGAGAGGGUGAUCGGCCACACUGGGACUGAGACACGGCCCAGACUCCUACGGGAGGCAGCAGUAGGGAAUUUCGGCAAUGGACGAAAGUCUGACCGAGCAACGCCGCGUGAGUGAAGAAGGUUUUCGGAUCGUAAAGCUCUGUUGUAAGAGAAGAACGGGUGUGAGAGUGGAAAGUUCACACUGUGACGGUAUCUACCAGAAA